rnacentral:rRNA from 1 species
AUACGAAGGGGACUAGCGUUGUUCGGAAUCACUGGGCGUAAAGCGCACGUAGGCGGAUAUGUCAGUCAGGGGUGAAAUCCCGGGGCUCAACCUCGGAACUGCCCUUGAUACAGCAUGUCUUGAGUCCGAUAGAGGUGGGUGGAAUUCCUAGUGUAGAGGUGAAAUUCGUAGAUAUUAGGAAGAACACCGGUGGCGAAGGCGGCCCACUGGAUCGGUACGGACGCUGAGGUGCGAAAGCGUGGGGAGC